UUAUAGUCCAGUUGGUAGAGCAUGAAAUUCUUAAUUUCAGGGUUGUGGGUUUGAGCCCCAUGUUGGGCAAAA